rnacentral:rRNA from 1 species
AACGAACGCUGGCGGCAGGCUUAACACAUGCAAGUCGAACGGUUGUAGCGAUACAGCAGUGGCAGACGGGUGAGUAACACGUGGGAACCUUCCUCGGGGUACGGAACAACUCAGGGAAACUUGAGCUAAUACCGUAUACGUCCGUGAGGAGAAAGAUUUAUCGCCCUGAGACGGGCCCGCGUCGGAUUAGCUGGUUGGUGGGGUAACGGCCUACCAAGGCGACGAUCCGUAGCUGAUCUUAGAGGAUGAUCAGCCACACUGGGACUGAGACACGGCCCAGACUCCUACGGGAGGCAGCAGUGGGGAAUCUUGGACAAUGGGGGCAACCCUGAUCCAGCCAUGCCGCGUGAGUGAAGAAGGUCUUCGGAUUGUAAAGCCCUUUUGCCAGGGACGAUAAUGACGGUACCUGGAGAAUAAGCCCCGGCAAACUUCGUGCCAGCAGCCGCCGUAACAC